UGGGGGAUAUUGCACAAUGGGCGAAAGCCUGAUGCAGCGACGCCGCAUGGGGGAUGAAGGCUUUCGGGUUGUAAACCUCUUUCGCUAUCGAACAAGGCCCGCUUAGGGUGGGUUGAGGGUAGGUGGAGAAGAAGCGCCGGCUAACUACGUGCCAGCAGCCGCGGUAAUACGUAGGGCGCGAGCGUUGUCCGGAAUUAUUGGGCGUAAAGGGCUUGUAGGCGGCUUGUUGCGCCUGCUGUGAAAACGCGGGGCUUAACUUCGCGCGUGCAGUGGGUACGGGCAGGCUUGAGUGUGGUAGGGGUGACUGGAAUUCCAGGUGUAGCGGUGGAAUGCGCAGAUAUCUGGAGGAACACCGAUGGCGAAGGCAGGUCACUGGGCCAUUACUGACGCUGAGGAGCGAAAGCAUGGGUAGCGAACAGG
rnacentral:rRNA from 1 species